rnacentral:lncRNA from 1 species
AAGAGGUCGGCCCCCUUGGAGGGAUUAGCUAGUAAUCUUUCUCCUCCAAGGUCACUCAUUUCCUCAUCAAUCUUACCUUGGUGUGGAGAGGUUCUCAAUUUUGGGAACUUGGAGAACCAUUUCAUCCAUCCAAAUCCAUAGAUCUAAGAUGCAAGGAAUGAAUGCCCUCUCUUUGGGUGAUUAGCCUUUGCUUAUGCAAAGAGGAAUCUACAAAGGUAUAAUUUCUCAACUCACUUUGAUUUGAGUUGAGUCUUGGUUCACCAAUCUACUAGGUUUGAAUUUCAUGGUUAAUGUUUUGUUUUUAAGUGCAUGCAAGCAUGAUUCCGCCUUUAAUUGUUAAUUGCAUGCUUAUAGAUGUUGCUUAAAUGAACAUGUUUUUCACAAAUCUUCCUUCAAGUGGUAUCAGAGCCAGGUUUAGUAGUUGGUGAAUCCUUUUGGGUUUUGUAGUUCAUAGUCUUUGAUUUAAAUGUUGUAAUAUGUUACAAGCCUUAUUCUUGCUUCUUUGAAUGUAAAUUUUGUUGGAAAAUUUGCCAUCUCAAAUGUUGUAGAUGUAGUUCAUAUGAGCAUGAAUAUUGGAGCAAAAAUUUGGUGCCAUGUUUUUUGGGGAUUUUCGGCCAAAUCCAAAGGGUGAUUUUUUGGGUUCUUGUUUGACUUGUUAAAAGUGUUUUCAAAUAACUUUUGGAACCCCUAUGUACCCUAGUUUGGUUAUAUGUUAUUUCCCUUAAGUUUGAGUGGUUUUGGGAUUUCUUUGGAUGAAAAAUGUUCAUGGAGCUCUUAUGGGUUUUUCAUGAAUGUUCUUCAUUGUUUUGACAUUUUAGCCAAGAACAAAAAGUUUGGUGUUUUGAUUCAAAGUUUUGAUUUAUUUCAUAAAGUCUUUGUUUUGUGCUUUAUCAAAUGUUUUAAUGUGAUAGAAAUUGUGUAAGGUGAUAGAAAUGGUGAUGGGUGUGUAAGAAGUACUUCUCUUACACACACAUCACUUGCAUGACUUUAUGUCAUGCACCACUUGCAUGAAUUAAUGUCACACUUAUCUUGCACCACUUGCAAGGCUUUAUGACUUUGAAAAAAAAUUUCAAAAUUUUUGUGGACUCCUCUCCCAAAACCGGCCCUCCCUCAAGUAGGGUAAUUUUGGGGCUUUUAUGCAAUUACAUAAAGUUUUGAUACUUUUGUGUUUUUUCACUUUGACCCAAAAGUUUACGUAUUACGUAAAGGCCCAAAAUCAUUAAAGGACAAAUUGUUUUGUUCCUUUAAUGAAGUUUUUCAAUUUGUUGAAAUUUUUGGGUUCUAGUUGUGAUUACAUGAAGUAGUGGACUUUUGUGUUUUUACAAAAUGAGCUCAAAAGUUUAAGUUUUGCAACAUAGCCCAAAGGUUGAGGUUAUUGCAUUUUGGCCCAAAUUAGGUUGAGAACAAAAUGGUUUUGUCUCUUUAAAUGAGAAUUGGAUUUUCAUUUCAUUUAGCUCCAUUUAAAUCAAUUCUAUGGAUACAAAAACCAAAUGAAAAUGUUGCAUUCAAGUUUAAUUGGUUAAAGCGUUAAUUGAUUAAAGAAAGGGUGAUUAUGAACCUAAGCCUAAUAUAAUUGAGCUAUGUGAAAGGCCGUUUCAAAUUUGUUUGAACCAUGGGAAUGUGUAGAUUAGAUUUUGGUUGUGAUUUGAUUUGAUCAAAUGUU